rnacentral:rRNA from 1 species
UACGGAGGGGACUAGCGUUGUUCGGAAUUACUGGGCGUAAAGCGCACGUAGGCGGAUUGUUAAGUCAGGGGUGAAAUCCCGAGGCUCAACCUCGGAACUGCCUUUGAUACUGGCAAUCUCGAGUCCGGAAGAGGUGAGUGGAAUUCCUAGUGUAGAGGUGAAAUUCGUAGAUAUUCGGAAGAACACCAGUGGCGAAGGCGACUUACUGGACACAUAUUGACGCUGAGGUGCGAAAGCGUGGGGAGCAAACAGG